CUGCAUGCACACUAAAAAAUCCUGGGUUAUUUUUUCUACCCAAGUGCUGGGUUGAGCCAUUUGGGUAAAUUUUUUGGGUUAUUUUCUCAGUCUUGGGUAGUUUUUGGGUAGUUCUAUGUAACCCAACCGCUGGGUUAUUUUCUGGGUCGUUUUCACUGAGAGCUGAAUCAAUGCACCCCCUCCCCCACUCGGACGCAAUAACCCAGCUCAUUGGGUCAAAUCAACUCCGCGCAGGAUCAGCGCAGCGCGGGCUGACUGAAUUCGAGGUGGAGGUGGAUGCCACACACACGCUGUAAUAUUUGGAGAAAUAAGACCCGCUCUUGACUGUCCGUGGUGGCAAAUCCACAGCCUUUAGCUGGAGUAGAAUCAACCGUAUCUGAAGAGAGAGCUGAGGAAAUUAAACAAUGGCUGAGAAACAACACACAGCCCAUCAGCCAGGUGGAACAGUACAUCUGAAAAAUAUGUUUGAGGUCCUCCAUGAGUUUACUCGGCUAACUACCUCAGGCAUGAUUGCACAGGACUUUCACAUUUAACAUUAAGAUGAAGCCCCAAAACUGUUUGAAAAAUGGCUGGUAUACUGACAGGAUCUUGCUUUUUGUGAGCGAGAAGCAAAGCUUUCAUGUACAGCUGAAGAAAUGACAGAAGAUGCAAAGGGAAAUCUUGCACUAAAGCUAUUACCUGUUUUGCUUCUACCUCCACCCUACAAAUUUGGCAGAAAAACAGUCCGACCCAGCAUUGAUGAAAGCAAAAAAGCUUUCAUUGACAUUCAGCCUGUUGGAACAAAUAUGGUGGAGUACCUCCAGCAGGCUGAAGCAUCAAGACCUUACCCAUAUGUCCUGUAACUUGAAAAUGGACACAUUGCGUCGCGGGCAUUUGUCAUCCUCGCAGGAGAAGCUUUGGAACAAAGAACUAUUGUUUAAGGGGAAGUCAUGGCCUAAUGGUUAGAGAGUUGGACUCGCAAUUUAAGGGUUGUGUGUUCGAGUCUCGGGCCGACAGGAAUUGUAGGUGAGAGGAGUGAAUGUAUAGUGCUCUCUUCCACCCUCAAUACCACGACUUAGGUGCCCUUGAGCAAGGCACUGAACCCCCAACUGCUCCCCGGGCGCCGCAGCAUAAAUGGCUGCCCACUGCUCCGGGUGUGUGCUCACAGUGUGUGUGUGUGUUCACUGCUCUGUGUGUGUGCACUUCGGAUGGGUUAAAUGCAGAGCGUGAAUUCUAAGUAUGGGUCACCAUACUUGGCUGAAUGUCACAUCACUUUCACUUCACUUCAUUGGGACAGUAAAUGUAUGUUUCAAAUCGUUUUAUGUUUUUGAUGUAAACUAACCGAAACAUUGUUUCUAUAUUAGGGAGUUUAUUCAUAAUAUUUUUGAGUUGGAGGGAAGUGAAUCCCCAACAGUGAAUUUUUUGCACUGGGCACUACAUUCCUGCAAGUAGAUUAUAAGAGGUUCUUUGAACAAACAGUGGUUCAAGAACACGAGGUAGCAUUUUAGUUUAAGUUUUAUUUGCACAUGAGAUUUUUGUUCUGUUUUUUUUUUGUAUAAACAACUGUUUUAUUGCUUGAGGAAGAGUAUUACUUUAUGCGUACUGAUUAUCAAUUACAUUUUUAUGUAGAAAUCUUUUACUGCCAAUACGUUGUAUUUCAUAGAUUUAUUUUUGUGUUCAUUUUGUAGACUUAAAACAACAGGUCCAUAAUGUAGACUUAAAACAAAUGUGCUUUGUAACAAACAGUUCUUGAGGUAAAGUAUUUUAGUUUUAAUUUCAUGUGCAUAUGGAUUAUUUAAAAAUAAGUAUUUAUUUGUAUAUUUAAAAAAAACCUUGAGGUUUUUUGGAGUUCAUGAAUUUCAUGAGCAUAUGGAUUAAAAAUAAUAUGAAUAAUUUUUUAAAUGCAUUACUAAACCUUGUGGUUCUUUGGAGUUUAUGAAUUCAAAUGUUUUUUUCUAAACAUUUACAGUUUAGAAAAGUUACAGAGGCAAACCAUAAAAAUGAAAGAAAUUGUUUUAAAUACUGUUUAUAAAUGGAAUUUUAUUUUUUUAGUUUUGUAUGAUCUCUUGAAUUUUUGGUUGAGGUAAAGUGUAAUUACAAAGUGUAAUAUGCUGAAAGAAAAAUAAAGAUAAUACAAUGUU